rnacentral:rRNA from 1 species
ACCCGACUGGCAAUCCCAGGCUCAAUCACGUUUAAAAAAAAAAGUAUGAACUAAUUCAGACUGUGCAACUGCGAAUGGCUUAUUAAACUAGUUAUAGUUUGUUUAAUGGCAACUGCUACUCGGAUAACCAUAGUAAUUCUAGAGCUAAUAUGUGCAACAAGUCCCAACUUCUAGAAAGGAUUUGAUGGUAAUAUAGUUGCCUAAUAUGGUGGUGAUGGAUAACAAAGAAUUAAGGUUCGAUUCUGGAAAGAAAGCCUAAGAAAUGGCUACCACAUCCAAAGAAGGAAUCAGGUGUGCAAAUUACCUAACCUGAUAUAGGGAAGUAGUGAUAAUAAAUAACAAUAUCGGGCUCUAUGAGUAAAAUUUAAAUCCCUUAAUGAGGAUCCAUUGGAGGGCAAGUCUGGUGCCAGCAUGGUAAUUCCAGCUCUAAUAGUGUAUGUUUAAGUUGUUGUAGUUAAAAAGCUCAUAGUUGGACUUUGGGUUAGGCUAGCCAGUCUACCUCUGGUGUGCAUCGAUCGUCUCAUCCCUUCUGCUGGCAAUGCACUCCUGGUCUUAACGGGUUGGGUCGUUCCUCUGAUACUGUUAUUCUGAAGAAAUUAGAGUGCUCAAAGCAAGCCUACGCUCUGUAUACAUUAGCAUGCAAUAACAUUAUAAGAUUUUGGUCCCAUUUUGUUGGCCAUUGGGUUGGAGUAAUGAUUAACAAGGACAGUCGUGGGCAUUCGUAUUUCAUAGUCAGAGGUGAAAUUCUUGGAUUUAUGAAAGAUGAACAACUGCAAAAAUAUUUGCAAAUGAUGUUUUCAUUAAUCAAGAACAAAAGUUGGGGGCUCGAAGAUAAUUAGAUACCGCCAUAGUCUCAACUAUAAACGAUGCCGACAAGGAAUCGGCGGAUAUUGCUUUCAGGACUUUGCAGGCACUUUAUGAGAAAUCAAAGUCUUUGGGUUCUGGAGGAGUAUGGUCGCAAGGCUAAAACUUAAAGGAAUUGACAGAAGGGCACCACUAGGCGUGGAGCCUGCUGCUUAAUUUGACUCAAUAUAGGAAAACUUAAUAGGUCCAGACAUAGUAAGGAUUGAUAAACUGAGAGCUCUUUUUUGAUUUUAUGGGUGGUGGUGCAUGGCCGUUCUUAGUUGGUGGAGCGAUUUGUCUGGUUAAUUCCAUUAAUGAAAAAGACCUCAAUCUACUAACUAGCUAUGCAAAGGUAUCCCUCCAUAGCCAGCUUCCUAAAGGGAAUACAGCCUUUUAGGCUAUGGAAAUUUGAGACAAUAACAGGUCUGUGAUGCCCUUAGAUGUUCUGGGCCGCACGCGCGCUACACUGAUGUAUUCAACGAGUCUAUAGCCUUGGCCGAGAGGCCCAGGUAAUAUUUGAAAUUUCAUCAUGAUGGCGAUAGAUCAUUACAAUUGUUAAUCUUCAAUGAGAAAUUGUUAGUAAGCGCAAGUCGUCAGCUCGCAUUGACCACAUCCCUGCUCUUUGUACACACCACUUGUCACUUCUAUUGAUUGGAUGAUCUAAUGAAGUGUUUGGAUCACAGCUACAUUGGCAGUUUGUUGCCCGUGACGUCACAAGAAAUCAACGUGGGAGUUGACCUUUCAUCGUGACCCUUCUCAGU